AUUGAACGCUGGCGGCAGGCCUAACACAUGCAAGUCGAACGAGAGGCGGACGGGUGAGUAAUGUCUGGGAAAAUGCCCGAUGGAGGGGGAUAACUACUGGAAACGGUAGCUAAUACCGCAUACUAUCGGAUGUGCCCAGAUGGGAUUAGCUUGUAGGUGAGGUAACGGCUCACCUAGGCGACGAUCCCUAGCUGGUCUGGGAGGAUGACCAGCUCAACUGGAACGGUGACACGGUCCAGACUCCUACGUUAGGCAGCAGUGGGGAAUAUUGCACAAGGGGCGCCAGCCUGAUGCAGCCAUGCCGCGUGUAUGAAGAAGGCCUUCGGGUUGUAAAGUACUUUCAGCGGGGAGGCGUUACCCGCAGAAGAAGAACCGGCUAACUCCGUGCCAGCAGCCGCGGUAAUAC
rnacentral:rRNA from 1 species